GAACCUCCUUCUUUUUAUAAAUAGAAAUGAACUGUAUCUUAAAGGCUUCGGAUCAGAAGAUGAUGUCAGAAGUAGGAUCUGAAGUACAGUGUCUAACAACUCAAAUGAGUGCUGAGCGACCACGCGAGGUACCCACCAAUCCCACUGUGUCCACUGCUUUCCCCAGGUAGCUGGGGAUCACGGUAAAGAAAGCUUUUCAUGGUUCACUGACAGGACAAUCAAGCCCUUCACAAUCUAGAACUCAAAGACUGGAUCUUCUGAGAAUAUCAGAGAAAGACUGACCUUGCCAUCUACACUGCAGUGACACUUCGGGACCUUGAACCUUGAGUUCAUAAUCUCACACCUCAUAAGUGUAUUUCCACACUCUUGAAACUGUAUACCCAUUGAAAACCUUAAGUUAAAGCUAAUCAGGGAAGUUUCUCCCCAGAAGAAGAUGGCAUCCUUGAUGUGGACAGCUUUUUCCCAAGAUCAUGGAUCAAGACAUCUCUAAUAUCUUGAGACUCUUAUCCUUCUUUUUUUUCCCCCUUGCUUCUGCCUCUAUGAACAACAGAGUGGAAAGAGGGUCUGUUGUGUGCACUCAUGGGGUGUACUUUUAUUUUCUGAAGAAUUUUGCGGCCAGUUUUUUCCAUGAAUAAUCUUAUGCCUUCAUAGAUGAAAGAUGAAGGCCUAGUGUAGGCAAAGAAUUUUAGUGGUUCAUGUGUUGCCCCAUAAUCAGUCAGAAACAGAACAUUUGUUCACUCCACUUAACUCAUGUCAUGGAUUAAAGAGAACAGUUCCAAGAGGCCUUCACUAUUCUAGAAGGGCAUCAUUUGUUAGGUCUUUUUUUCUCCCCAUGGUUUGGAGUAAAUGAGGCAAUCACUAGGGAUUUAUCCCUCAUGAUAGGCUCUACAGCAGAUUCUACUGUAAAGCCUGUGGAUGCACAACAGACUGAAUUCUCUUGUGAAAGUUAUGAUAAAUAAAUAGAUUUGCUCUAGAUUACUUACUGACUAAACCAGAAAUAUCUGUGCAGCUGCUGGGACCUGUUGCCCAUAGAGAAACACAUCACAUUGGGUAUUAUAGAGAUUCAGUGAUUGGGAUUAACAAAGAGACUACUUAGUUGAAGUGAGUAGACUCUAUCUAGCUCAUGUUUUGAUUUAUUUGAUUUUCAUUAGUUUGGUUUAUGGGGACCCUGGCUAAGGAACAUACAUCAAACCAUUGGUAUUUUCCUCCUGAUAGUCAUAAUAGUAGUGUCCCUGGUGCACUGUAUUCUCUCAAAAGUUUUAAAUGUUUGCUUGCAGCCAUCCCUAGAAUGUCAAAUGGUCUCUCUUUAACUAGAAUGAUAAAAGCUGAAACAAAUUUGUGGCCAUGAUGGCAAUGUAACCAAUGAAUGACAUGCUGAGACUGGAAACUCAAAAUUAUGGUAACUGAGAAUGGUGUGAAGGCCUUAAGUUUUUGGCCACACUCUUACCUAAGUGAGAACUUGGCCAAAAGGGGCAAUUUUUUUAAACAAAAUUAUGGGAGGCCAUUGUUUUGGACUGAGCUUAGGCACUAAGCCCCAACAGACAAAACUAAACCAAAAUGGAGUCACUUGUGCUAAAUGUGACAUAAUCAAACUAAGAGUUUAAGGAAACACACAGAUCCUAGAAAAGACUAGACUUUGUUUUUAUCCUGUAAAUAGGACAUUCCAGAAUGAGGAGGUACCCUCUACUGUAACCCUUACAAAAAAUAACCAGAAGUCUUUGUUCCCACCUUACAAAACUCACUGUUCUAUUAUUUUGCAGUGGGCUUCAAGACUAAAUAAGUACAUUUACAAUAGUGAUAAUGACAUCAAUGACUAAUGUUUUGGUCAAUCUCAAAAUUGAGAGGAUGACCAAAGGUGGGGAAUUGUUAAAUCAAGUUUAGCCUUAAGAUACCUCCUUACAUAUUUUAAGUUCAGCCUAAAGAUAUGUUCGUACAUUGUGGACUAUAACCUAAAUGAAAUUGUAAACAGACUGUAGCCUGCUCUUGUGCCAAUCACCGAGUUUUGGCCAAUCAAAGGUGGCCAACUGUUUAAACCAUGUUCAAAAAAGGCAAACACCAAGCUAUAACCAACUUAGUCUGUUUCUGUACCUCGCUUCUGUGUUCUGUACAUCACUUUCCUUGUUUUGUCUGUAAAUCUUCUUCCAUCUUGUGGUUGAGUUGGAAUCUCUGAACCUACUCUGGUAAAGAUUUCUAAUAUCUUAAAAAACAAAACAAAACAAAAAACAGGAAGACUGGUAAAUUGCAUCACAUUCUUAUACUAUAUAGACUUGCAAUUUCACAUUUUAAUAUGAUUUUAUAUUAAUAAAAUUAAUUGUUAUAUGACCACUGUAGAAAGCUGAGUUUUAUUGAUCAAAGAGACUUUAGGAAUAAUCUAGCAUGAUGCUGUAUUAGCGACAAGACAAUUUAGAUUUAGAGAUGCUAAGGAAUUAAGAUCACACACUUGGGGCAGAGUUACAAUAAGUAUACAAUAUUCAGCCAUCUAGCCACCCCUUCAUGGUUGUAGUAAUACAAUUAUUCUGUUAAGAUUCUUUCCUGGCCGGGCGCAGUGGCUCAUGCCUGUAUACCCUGCACUUUGAGAGGCGGAGGCGGGCAGAUCACCUGAGAUCAGGAGUUCAAGACCAGCCUGACCAACAUGGUUAAAACCCCAUCUCUACUAAAAUACAAAAAUUAGCCAGGCGUGGUGGCAGGUGCCUGUAGUCCCAGCUACUUGAGAGACAGAGGCAGGAAAACCUCUUGAACCCGGGAGGUGGAGGUUGCAGUGAGCCGAGAUCAUGCCACUGCACUCCAGCCUGGGCAACAGAGCAAGAAGCCAUCUCAAAAAAAUAAAAAUUAUUCUUUACAUCAACAAAUUUAUUGUCAUUUUACAGCAGUAAUUUGCAUAUAUACAUUAUCAAUAUAAAAAUUCAACAAGUAAGCAAACUUAUAUAUAUGCUUUGCAAACUUAACAGCUAUAAAAUGUUUAUUUUAAAAUACUUUCAUUAAUACUUUUAGAUAUAUUCAAUAAUUGCCAAAUCCAUACUCUAUAUCCAUAAUAAUUUGAAAAUGUAACAUUAACUUAUAGAAUUAGGUUAGUAGCAUUAUGGACAUUAUCAAACUUAUAUUUAUUUGUGUGAUAUUCUCAUCAAUACAAUUAUAUCUAUUCAGCAAUCCCCAAAUCCAUGUCUUGAUAUCCAUAAUAUUUUAAAAAGUUAACAUCAAUUUGUAAAUUAUGUUAGUAGUUAGUGUUAUGGAACUUGGGAACAAACACUGAAUGCCACAUUAGGAGAAAAAAAAUUCCUGCUUCUUUUGAAAACAGAAACAUUCACAUUCUCAGAUAUUAUCACUGCUUUUGUACAUUGUUCUGAGUGAUAAGAAAUUACCUAAUGGGUACAAGGUACACUAUCUGGGCAAUGGUUGUACUAAAAGCCCAAACCUCACUACUAUAAAAUAUAUAUAUUCCUGCAACAAAACUGCACUUACACCACCUAAAUCUUUUUUUUUUUUUUUUUUAGAUGGAGUUUCGCUUUUGUUGCCCAGGCUGGAGUGAAAUGGCGUGGUCUCAGCUCACUGCAAUCCCCGCCUCCCGGAUUCAAGGAAUUCUCCUGCCUCAGCCUCCCAAGUAGCUGGGAUUACAGGUGCCCACCACCACGCCUGGCUAAUUUUUGUAUUUUUAGUAGAGACUGGGUUUCACCAUGUUGCCCAUGCUGGCCUUGAACUCCUGACCUCAAGUGGUCUGCCCGUUUUGGCCUCCUAAAGUGCUGAGAUUACAGGCAUGAGCCACUGCUCCUGGCCUAUACCAUCUAAAUAUUUUCAAAAAAUUAAAAAGAUAUUAUACUAAAAUUACAAUUCACAUAGUGAUUUUUAAAAUAUAUCUUAAGCCAGUGUAUUUAGGAUGACACAGCUAUGACUUGACACUUUAUUUUCCUAAAUGUAAUGGUAGAUGUAGCCACUAAAUCAAUAGUGAAAUACAGUUUCUUUAUUUUUUCUCUUCAUCAAAAGAAAUGGAUUUCUAAACUAAGGGAAGAUCUCAAAAUAAAUGUAAGCAUUCUCAAAAUAAAAAAAAAGUAAAUACAGAGGCAAAAAUGACUCAAAGUUAUCAAAUAUUUAGAUGUUUAUUAAUAUAAUUAUUUUAGGUUUUUAUGCUAAUUUUUCUAAAAUAUUAUUCAACUUUCUUGACUGAAUUUUUUUCACCUAUUUUCUGCAUUAUGAGUAGCUUUGAAAUUAGAACUAAGUAUAGUGACAGUUACUGUCUUUCCACUUGAAAAAGUUCUCAGUCCAUGACGAGGCUCUAUUCCCCAAAUUGAAACACACCUUAUUUAAUUAACCUAGCCAUAAAAGACAAAAGAAUCUUGUAGUUGGGUUUUGUGUAAUAAAAAUAAUAAAUUUGUUUUUCUACAUUGUUGCACACUUCAAUAAAUGGUGGGUUUUUUUUAGUUAUAUUGCCAUACCUAAGAUUGUGAUAGAAGAUUGUAUGCAUUUAUUUAAUAUUGCAAGGUGCAAUGUUGUUUAACAUUGUAGUAGUCUUUGAUAUAUUUAAUAAAAGUGUUCCAAAUGUAUUUACUGACUUAAGGUCUCACAUCACAUUCAGAACUUUAGUGAAUGAUACUUUACAUAAAGAAACAUCAUAGAUUCAAAUCUGUCCAACCAUUUUCCAAAUGAGUUUCAGUGUGAUUCAAAUGUGUAAUUUAACAGAUAAAAAUGCAACACUCUCUAAUUUGUUUGCAAAAAUAACAAAGUGACCAAAAAAAAAAAAAAAAAACCACACACACGCACAUACCACACACACACACAAAAUCAAGAAAACAAGAAAGAAAAAGCUGAUUUUGUAAUGCAAGUUUGCAGUAUGAGAUAGAAACUGCAUACCAUAAUAUUUGUUAGCUUGGCAGAGGACAAUCUUCUUCCAUAUGAUAGUUUUAUGGUAAUAUUGUCAGUGGGAGCAAAAAGAACUGCUCCACUGAUGAAUUAAAAAAUGUUUGCUUCACUCUUAUUUCACUGUUUUUAAUUUUAUCUGGUAUAUUUUGAUAAUAUACAGUUUGUAUACUUAUUCAAUUACUAGUGUAAGUAGAUAAAUGUUUAUGUACUGUGGAGGAGUACUUAAAAUUUUUUAACUGUGGGAUGUGCAUUCAAAGAAAAUUUGAAGACCAUUAUCUUCUAUUUGUUCUCCUCUCCUCAUUGUUCUUUCUAUUUUUUCAUUAAAAAUUUUGUUAUGGAUACAUUAUAGUUUUACAUAUUGAUGGGGUACAUGUAAUGUUUUUGAUACAAGCAUAUAGUGUGUAGUAAUCAAAUCAAGGUAAUUGGGAUUUUCGUAACCUCAAGUAUUUAUUAUUUAAUUGUGUUAGAAACAUUCCAGUUUUACUCUUCUAGUUAUUUUGAAAUAUACAAUAAAUUAUUGUUAAUUAUAGUCAUCCUGUUGUGCUACUGAACAUUAGAUCAUAUUUGUUUUUACUUCAUUGGAUUUUUGGUUAAUGGGUACAAAACAACAGCUUGUUUUGUAUUUUACUCAGUUAGAGCCUUAUAAUUGUUACUCAAACCUAUGACUUGCUAAAUUAGUUUUUUUUCUCAUACUAUACUUCUUUGUGGAACCCUAAUGAUUAUAUUCACCCCCAAGAACAUAAGCCCAAAAAACCAGCAAAUAUGACUAUUC